CCAGACUCCUACGGGAGGCAGCAGUGGGGAAUAUUGGGCAAUGGGCGCAAGCCUGACCCAGCAAUGCCGCGUGAAGGAAGAAGGCCUUCGGGUUGUAAACUUCUUUUAUCAGGGACGAAGGAUGUGACGGUACCUGAUGAAUAAGCUCCGGCUAACUACGUGCCAGCAGCCGCGGUAAUACGUAGGGAGCAAGCGUUAUCCGGAUUUACUGGGUGUAAAGGGCGUGCAGCCGGGAAGACAAGUCAGAUGUGAAAUCCCGCGGCUCAACCGCGGAACUGCAUUUGAAACUGUUUUUCUUGAGUACCGGAGAGGUCAUCGGAAUUCCUUGUGUAGCGGUGAAAUGCGUAGAUAUAAGGAAGAACACCAGUGGCGAAGGCGGAUGACUGGACGGCAACUGACGGUGAGGCGCGAAAGCGUGGGGAGCAAACAGGAUUAGAUACCCUCGUAUG
rnacentral:rRNA from 1 species